UACAGAGGGUGCAAGCGUUAAUCGGAAUUACUGGGCGUAAAGCGCGCGUAGACGGUUAUUUAAGUCAGGCGUGAAAGCCCCGGGCUCAACCUGGGAAUUGCAUUUGAGACUGAAUAGCUAGGGUGCGGAAGAGGGAAGCGGAAUUUCCGGUGUAGCGGUGAAAUGCGUAGAUAUCGGAAGGAACACCAGUGGCGAAGGCGGCAUCCUGGACCGGCAUUGACGCUGAGGCGCGAAAGCCAGGGGAGCAAACGGG
rnacentral:rRNA from 1 species